CACAUUCCUCGCAUUCUAGGAUUGAGAUACACAGUUUGGUUCUUGUGAGGGCAGCCAGGGCUGGGGAGGAGGGCAGAGAACAUCCCAGAGAUCAAGACUGCUCUUCUUGCUCCCUCCCCGACUGACUUGGCCCACACUGACUGGCCUGCCACCCCUUUACAGUGAUCUCCACCCAGUCUCUCUCUGCAAAGGCCUCCCUUGGCUCUCUGAUAAAGUUGGAGCUGUGGGUGCAGCAUUUCACUUGGACCUAGCAGCAUCAAUGAGCCAGCUCCUCACUGGGGAACAUGCAAACCCCCAGCUGCUGGUGUGCAGGAAAAGAAUCCAGGAGAUCACCUGAUGAAGCCCAGCAUUUUACAGGUAGGCAGUGGAGCAGGGGAAUCCAGUUGACACUGUGGCUAAAUUUCAGAAAACCUCCCAUGAGAUCUUGCAAAGGAGAUGGAGAAAAUAUGGCUGAAUGCCAGCAAGGUAGGACGGAAGCAUGACUGCUCUAACAACCAAGCUCAAAGAGCACUGCUCACCCAAUGUUUCCUUCAUGACUAGAGCAAAGUGGUGAAAGGACCCUGGUGAGAGGCCCAAAGAACAGGAGGUGUGAGCCAAGAGAAGGUCCUGCCAGGCCUAUGUUGCAGGCUAUUUGGAGGCUGAACUUGAGGUCAGUAUCACCAGCAUUUUUAGGACGGCAGUGGCCUGAUCAAGUUUAUAUUCUGAGAGGAGCACUUGGGUGACCAGGUGAAGAAUGGCCUAGGGGUCAGUCCCACCAGAGAUCAGGAGUAUCCACCUCACACACCAGCCUAGCCCCAGAGGACAGGGUCUUGAGCCUGUCUCUGAAGCACUGCUCCCGUCUCCAUCCUGACUCAUCCUGAGACACAGUUACUGAAUGUUUACUGUGGGCCAGGCUCUCACUGUACAUUAUUCUAUUCAAAUCCCAUAACAGCCCCAUAAUGUAGGCAUCAUUUCUACUUUGUAAGUGAGGAAACGGAUAAAGAGGAGUGUAUAACUUGUCCAACUCCCUCCCUUCUCCCACCAUUUAUGAAUGUCAGAGUCAAGACUGAGCAAGGUCUAGUUGAUUCCACAGCCCAGAAGAAUCACGUUUCUGAUACAUGGGAUACAUUGUGGGUUCUCCCAUGACUACUAGGACACACAAUGAGAAAGGCCUAGGAAGGACUGAAACCUCUGGAGCCAGCUAACCAUUUACACAAAGCCCAGGAGAUGAGAGCUGGGGCAGGGAGUAGAGCGCAGGAGGGAUGGGGUCUCUCUGAUCACAUUGCCACCGGGGAGGAUGUUUUCUCUGUGCAGGUCUAUUUAAAGUAUCUACUUCCCAUACGUUUCUCAUGUGUUUCCCUUACUGAAGUACAGUGUUUUUGAAUAUGAAUUCAAAUGUUUUCUUGGGCCCACAAUGAAAGGACAAGAGUUUCUUUAGAAAACAGCCACUUAAAACUGGGAUGUACUUGAAAGUCAGGCAGUGACAAGAAGCCCCAUGCUCUAACUUACACACGCUGACAGAUGCGCAGACUUAUCAUUGCUCCUUGGCUGGUCUGCACACCAACCACUCUUACACAGGUACAACAACAAUCAGACUAUAAAUGAUCAAAAUCAACUAUUGAAAGGAUCCCAGGCCAUGUGUCAGAGAUGACACCCUAGGCAGUUGGCUAACACACACAUUGCAGCAGGUCUUAAAUGAAUAGUCCAUUCUGGAUAAAGUCAUUGCUUCCCUUGAGAUGCAAGAAACUGUGCUGUUCUGCUCCUGGGUAGCCUGAUGAAUUGACUAGAGCAAAGAGACUUCCAGCAGGAGCAAAGGCCCUGAAGUAGGAACUUGCUUAGCAUGUUAAAGGAAGUGUGGCUGAAGGCUAGUGAGGUAGGUGAGGGCACAGAGAUGAAGUCAGAGAAAGCAGCAGGAGACCAAACAGUGUAGGGCCUUAGAGGUCAUCUAAGGACUCCAGUUUUUACUCUGAAUGAGGUAAGAGCCAAUGGAGGACACUAAAGAGAAGAGUAACAUGCAUGACUUACGGUUUUAAAGGGUCAGCCUGGCUCAUGGGCUAUAGAUGGAACUCCAGAUAUGCAGCAAUUGUAACAUCCAGCAGAGAGAUGAUAAUGUCUUGAACCAAAGUGCUAUUGGUAGAGGUGAUGAAAAGGGUUUAGGUAUUAGACACAUUUUGAAAUAAGGGUGUAUUAGUCAAGGUACUCCAGAGAAACAGGACCAAUAAAAGUUGAGAAAAAAAAAAAUUAACAAAUUGGCUCCUGUGAGGGUUGGCAAAUCUGAAAUCCAUAGGGCAGGCCAGCAGUCUGGAGACUCAAGUAAGAGUUGCUAUUGCAGUCUUUAGUCAAAAUUCCACAGAGCAGCAGACUAGAGACUCAUAUAAGUUUCCCAUGUUGCAGUCAAGAAUUCUUGAGAAGAAUUUCUUCUUUUUCAGGAAACUUCAGUCUUCAGUCUUAAGGCCUUCAACUGAUUGGAAGGCCCCCAGUCAGCUAGUGGGAAGACCCAUGCACAUUAGAGAGGGUAAUCUGCUUUGUUCACUGUCUACUGAUGUCAAUGUUAAUUAUCUUUAAAAAAAAAUACCUUCAACAUCUAUUUUGUUCUUUGGUCAAACAACUGGCCACCAUAACCUAGCCAAGAGAACACAUGAAAUUAACCAUCACAGAGACCCAUGAGGAUGUGUUGAUACAUUGAAUGUAUGAGAGGAAAAAAAAAAAUCUACUUUAGAGUAGUUCUGAUUUUUUUUAUCUGAACAACUGAAAUAAUUUAAUAAUUAUUGAAAUGUUAAAUGCUAGGAGAAAAGAAGCUUUGUGAAUUGAAACCAGGAGUUUGGUUUUGUAUAUGUAAUAUUUAAUAGUCCUUUAGUAUAUCCAAGCAAAUGUAGACAAAGCAAUCUGGAGUUCAUGGAGAAGUUAAAAGCUGAAGGUAAGUAUUUGGGAGUUGUCACUGUGUAGAGGGUAUGUAAAGUUAGAAGACCAAGCAAGAUCUCUUAAGGCAGAAAGUGGAGGAUAGAAUACAGAGGAUAUAUCAAGAAUGAGCCCUACAAGCACAUUAAUUUUUAUAUGAAUAAGAAAGGAGUAGAAACCAGCAAAAGCGAUAGAGAAAUAGUGGCCAGUGAGACGAUAUGCACCAAGAGCAUAAGAUGGUACAGAAUUCAAGUGAAGAAAGUGUUUCAAGAGCAGAAGGUGAUUAACUAUGUCAAAUGCUGCUAAUAAGUAAGAUGUGCACAGAGAAUUUACCACUGGACAUCUUGGUGGAGCAGUGGAGAUAAAAGCUAGAUUGAGAAAGCUUCAAGAGUAUACGGUAUUGACGCAGAAUUAACUGUUGCAUGAGAUGUGGGGUAUGAGAGAAGGCCUGAGUACCUAGAAGGAUUGGGAUGCCAUGAACUGACAGAGGUUGUGUAAUAGUGUGAUAUAAUAAGAAAUACAUGGUGGGCAUGGUGGCUCAAGCCUGUAAUCCCAGCACCUUGGCCACCACUGCAGGACCAGUGGCUGUGAGAGGAAAUUCAGAAGUAUCUUUGGAAGCAUUUUGUUAAUUUUGAGAUGCUGGGGACAUCAUCAAAAUGAAAAACUUUUGUGCCUCAAAGAACACCAUCAAGAAACUGAAAAGACAACCCAAGAAGACAAAAUUUGCAAAUCUUAUAUCUCCAAUGAAGAUACACAGGCUUUCCAUGGCGCACAUGAGGGAGGACAUGGACUUGAGAAUUGUGAGGCUUGAAGAAUCCUCAGAGAUCACCUAGCAUAACAGGAAACCAAGGAUUUGGAGGGAAAAAUCUUGUCGCAGAUCACACAGAAAUAUCAGGGCCUGGUUUGAAUCUUACCUCUGCCCCAACCAGUUGUGUGACCUUGAGAAAGUGAAGAUCUUUUUUGUUCAUUGGUUUCCUCAUCUGUAAAAUAGGGAUUUAAUUUUACCUGCCUCAGAAGAUUGUAGUGAGGAUUAAAUGAGGUGAUAAAACUAUAAUGUUUAGGACAGUAAAUUGUAUGUAAUAUAAUAUUAAUAAAUAUUAGCCAUUAUUAAAAGACAGAUGUCAGCUUUCUGAAGAAAGUGUCAAGCAUUUGUCCCUUACAAGGACUGGGAAGAAAGAGCAUACAUUUUCCCCGUUGCCUGCCCUUGACAUAUUUAUAACAUCCCAGGACUGGCACUGACCAUCCUCUCCCAAGUAACGGAAUGUCAAGAUGACUGCAGAGAUUAUGCUGUGAGUAGAAAAGCUUUAUAGUAAGCCGAGGUGAUCACCAGCCUCCCUGAGCUAAAAUAAUCACAGACUUUUUUUCUUAGUGACCCCUGUCCUACUCUCAGGCACCUUAUAUCCUCAAAUCUUAAAUAGAGUUAAGAGAUUGGGCAG
rnacentral:lncRNA from 10 species